AGGCGCUGCGGCCCGAGGGGCGCGCGGCUACGAGGAAGUGUAGUUUCUUACAGGGCUGAAUUGAAACAACUUCAGCUGUUUGCUUUUAGGAUGUCUCGCCGCAAGCAAGCGAAACCGAGAUCCCUCAAAGACCCCAACUGUAAACUUGAAGACAAGACUGAAGAUGGAGAGGCGCUAGAUUGUAAGAAGAGGCCGGAAGACGGGGAGGAGUUGGAAGACGAGGCUGUGCACAGCUGUGACAGCUGCCUCCAGGUGUUUGAAUCGCUGAGCGAUAUCACAGAACACAAGAUUAAUCAAUGUCAACUGACAGAUGGAGUGGAUGUUGAAGAUGAUCCGACUUGCUCUUGGCCAGCUUCCUCACCUUCCAGCAAGGAUCAGACUUCCCCUAGCCAUGGAGAAGGUUGCGAUUUUGGAGAGGAAGAAGGUGGCCCUGGGCUUCCAUACCCAUGUCAAUUCUGUGACAAGUCGUUUAGCCGCCUCAGCUACCUAAAGCACCAUGAGCAGAGUCACAGCGACAAACUGCCUUUCAAAUGCACCUACUGCAGUAGGCUGUUCAAACACAAGCGCAGCCGAGAUCGCCACAUAAAACUCCACACCGGGGACAAGAAGUACCACUGCAGUGAAUGUGAUGCUGCGUUUUCCAGAAGUGAUCACUUGAAGAUCCACUUAAAGACUCACACUUCCAACAAGCCAUAUAAAUGUGCCAUUUGUCGCCGUGGGUUUCUGUCCUCUAGUUCCUUACACGGACACAUGCAGGUUCACGAGAGGAACAAGGACGGCUCCCAGUCUGGUUCCAGGAUGGAGGACUGGAAGAUGAAGGACACUCAGAAGUGCAGUCAGUGUGAGGAAGGCUUUGACUUCCCAGAAGACCUCCAAAAACACAUUGCAGAGUGCCACCCCGAAUGCUCCCCAAACGAGGACCGAGCGGCCCUCCAGUGCGUCUACUGCCACGAGCUCUUCGUAGAGGAGACCUCCCUCAUGAACCACAUGGAGCAGGUGCAUGGCGGGGAGAAGAAGAACUCAUGCAGCAUUUGUUCUGAGAGUUUCCACACAGUUGAGGAACUGUACAGCCACAUGGACAGUCACCAGCAACCGGAGUCGUGCAAUCACAGCAACAGCCCUUCCCUGGUCACGGUGGGCUACACCUCCGUGUCCAGUACGACUCCAGAUUCCAACCUCUCAGUGGACAGCUCAACCAUGGUGGAAGCUGCCCCGCCAAUCCCAAAGAGUCGAGGGAGGAAGAGGGCCGCUCAGCAAACCCCUGACAUGACUGGUCCCUCGAGUAAACAAGCAAAAGUUACCUACAGCUGUAUUUACUGCAACAAGCAAUUAUUUUCAAGUCUUGCAGUUCUGCAGAUUCACCUGAAAACUAUGCACUUAGAUAAGCCAGAACAGGCCCAUAUUUGUCAGUAUUGCUUGGAGGUCCUGCCCUCACUCUAUAACCUAAAUGAACAUCUUAAGCAAGUGCAUGAAGCUCAGGACCCAGGUCUGAUUGUUUCUGCCAUGCCUGCCAUUGUCUACCAGUGUAACUUCUGUUCCGAAGUUGUCAACGACCUCAACACUCUUCAGGAACACAUCCGAUGUUCUCAUGGAUUUGCAAACCCCGCAGCUAAAGAUAGUAAUGCAUUCUUUUGUCCCCAUUGCUAUAUGGGUUUUCUCACUGACUCUUCCCUCGAAGAGCAUAUUAGACAGGUUCAUUGUGACCUCAGUGGCUCCCGAUUUGGGUCUCCAGUGCUUGGGACUCCCAAAGAACCAGUAGUAGAAGUCUAUUCUUGUUCCUAUUGUACUAAUUCACCAAUAUUCAACAGCGUUCUUAAGCUGAACAAACAUAUCAAAGAGAAUCAUAAAAACAUUCCCUUGGCCCUGAAUUAUAUCCACAAUGGGAAGAAAUCCAGGGCCUUAAGCCCCCUAUCUCCUGUGGCCAUAGAGCAGACAUCUCUUAAGAUGAUGCAGGCAGUAGGAGGUGCACCUGCACGUCCAGCUGGAGAAUAUAUCUGUAAUCAGUGUGGUGCUAAGUACACAUCCCUAGACAGCUUUCAGACUCACCUAAAAACUCAUCUCGACACUGUGCUUCCAAAAUUGACCUGUCCUCAGUGCAACAAGGAAUUCCCCAACCAAGAAUCCUUGCUGAAGCAUGUUACCAUUCACUUUAUGAUCACCUCAACGUAUUACAUCUGUGAAAGUUGUGACAAGCAAUUCACAUCAGUGGAUGACCUUCAGAAACACCUGCUGGACAUGCACACCUUUGUCUUCUUUCGCUGCACCCUCUGUCAGGAAGUUUUUGACUCAAAAGUCUCCAUUCAGCUCCACUUGGCUGUGAAGCACAGUAACGAAAAGAAAGUCUAUAGGUGCACAUCUUGCAACUGGGACUUCCGCAAUGAGACUGACUUGCAGCUCCAUGUGAAACACAACCACCUGGAAAACCAAGGGAAAGUGCAUAAGUGCAUUUUCUGCGGUGAGUCCUUUGGCACCGAGGUGGAGCUGCAAUGCCACAUCACCACUCACAGUAAGAAGUACAACUGCAAGUUCUGUAGCAAAGCCUUCCAUGCGAUCAUUUUGUUAGAAAAACACUUGCGAGAAAAACAUUGUGUGUUCGAAACCAAGACACCCAACUGUGGAACAAAUGGAGCUUCUGAGCAAGUGCAGAAAGAGGAAGUGGAGCUGCAGACUUUGCUGACCAACAGCCAGGAGUCCCACAACAGUCACGAUGGGAGCGAAGAAGACGUCGACACCUCUGAGCCUAUGUACGGCUGCGACAUUUGUGGGGCAGCCUACACUAUGGAAACUUUGCUGCAGAAUCACCAGCUCCGAGACCACAACAUCAGACCUGGAGAAAGUGCCAUCGUGAAAAAGAAAGCUGAGCUCAUUAAAGGGAAUUACAAGUGCAACGUGUGCUCUCGAACCUUCUUCUCCGAAAAUGGCCUCCGUGAACAUAUGCAGACCCACCUAGGCCCUGUCAAACACUACAUGUGCCCUAUUUGCGGAGAGCGGUUUCCCUCCCUUUUAACUCUUACUGAACACAAAGUCACGCAUAGUAAGAGUCUUGAUACUGGAAACUGCCGGAUUUGCAAGAUGCCUCUCCAGAGUGAAGAGGAGUUUUUAGAGCAUUGCCAAAUGCACCCUGACUUGAGGAAUUCCCUGACGGGCUUUCGCUGCGUGGUGUGCAUGCAGACAGUGACCUCCACCUUGGAACUCAAAAUCCAUGGGACAUUCCACAUGCAAAAGACAGGGAAUGGGUCUGCAGUUCAGACCACAGGGCGUGGCCAGCACGUCCAAAAACUGUACAAGUGCGCAUCUUGCCUCAAAGAAUUCCGUUCCAAGCAAGAUCUGGUGAAACUUGACAUCAACGGCCUGCCAUAUGGUCUGUGUGCUGGCUGCGUAAAUCUCAGUAAGAGCGCCAGCCCAGGCAUUAACGUCCCUCCCGGCACGAACAGACCAGGCUUGGGCCAGAAUGAGAAUCUGAGUGCCAUCGAGGGGAAAGGCAAGGUGGGGGGACUGAAGACGCGCUGCUCUAGCUGCAACGUUAAGUUUGAGUCUGAAAGUGAACUCCAGAACCACAUCCAAACCGUCCACCGAGAGCUUGUGCCAGACAGCAACAGCACACAGUUGAAAACGCCCCAAGUAUCACCAAUGCCCAGAAUCAGUCCCUCCCAGUCGGAUGAGGAUAUUGUCUUCUCUAUGACUGAAGAGACCAGCGCUCAUGCCAACACUACUGAGAUCUGGAAUCUCAGCAUAGCUUCACCAAGAAGACCUAUCAAUGCAUCAAGUGUCAGAUGGUUUUCUACAAUGAAUGGGAUAUUCAGGUUCAUGUUGCAAAUCACAUGAUUGAUGAAGGACUGAACCAUGAAUGCAAACUCUGCAGCCAGACCUUUGACUCUCCUGCCAAACUCCAGUGCCACCUGAUAGAGCACAGCUUCGAAGGGAUGGGAGGCACCUUCAAGUGUCCAGUCUGCUUUACAGUAUUUGUUCAAGCAAACAAGUUGCAGCAGCAUAUUUUCUCUGCCCAUGGACAAGAAGACAAGAUCUAUGACUGUACACAAUGUCCACAGAAGUUUUUCUUCCAAACAGAGCUGCAGAAUCAUACAAUGACCCAACACAGCAGUUAGUGCAAGUACAGUCUCUCAAGGAGAAUUGCUUUUGUGGCACAAAAAGGGAACAUGUUUUACUCUUUGCACGAAACUUUCAUUGUUAAUGUAUAUUAUUCAGAAACAUUGUAUUGUACCAUAAAACUUGUAUUAUCAAAACUGUUGGAUGUUCAUGUGUUUGAACUUUUGCGCACCGGAUAGACCCCUUGUAUAUAAAGUGUUGCACAUGUAUUAUGUCGUCUGAUACUAAAAUGGUCUUAUAAAGACAAGUGGACUUGGGCCCUAUUCAGGCAAGAUUAAAAAAAAAAAAAAAAAAAAAAAGACAUAUGACCAAAAUGGCUUAAGAUAAAGUAUUUUUAAGGAAGAAAGAUUAAAAACAACUGUUAUACAUGAGACUAUGGUUGGACUUCCUUUUCUUUACACUUAAGCCUAGAAUUUCUCUUUUGGUAUAUCAGCGCUUAAAUCUAAGACUAUUUUUUAUUGCUGAAGAUUCUUGCAAACCAUGAAGAGAUGUUCUCACAGAACAGAACCCCACAGCUGGAUAAGGCCCGUAUAUAUAUAUUUGUAAGCCUUGCAAUGUGACAGGUAGCAUCACUAUAUAUGCAAUAGUUGUUAUGUAGACUGUCAAAGAAUUUUUUUUCCCUGGAUACAUUUGAAGCUUUGAGUGUUCAAGGUUUUCCUUAAUGAUUUCACGCAGCCAAAUUCUUGAAUCAGUUGAACUAACCUGUAUGUUACUGUUAUUAAUGUUUACUCUGCAGUCUGAACCUGGAGAUUACUGGAAUUGUUUUCCAAGAGGAAAUAAAUUCAGUUUACCAUUAGG